CCAAAUAUACAGAUGAACAGUAAUAUUUUCUCUCUCCUCCACUCACAACCACUUUUUAUACCCUUUACAAUAUAAAAACUCACUCUCACAAGUUUUGAUGGAUUGGAUGAGAAUGCUCUUAGACGAGUUGCGCACCUCACUUGACGACUAACACAUCACCGUCGAGAACAAGAUUCCGGUAAUCGUUGUACCCCUUCUUUUAUUUCUAUGUAUCUUUACGGCUUUUAAAUUUUACAUUACAAAACUAAAUCUUAGAAACAAGAAAACAUCAUAUUUAUUCUUAAUGAUUGAGAAGGUAGAUUAUAUUUGGCAAAUCGGUGAACCUUCAGUUGUAGUUCAGGUCGUACUUUGUCACCAACCGGCAAUUUGGAAUAUUUAUAUUAGUUUAUUCUUAAAAAAAAAACAAUUGCUUUACAUGGAUAUAAGCAAAUGGGUCAAUUUAGGUUGUACAUUGUGAUCGAGUCAAGUCAGGAUGUACAUUGUCACAAACGGAUCAAAUGGGUGUUAUUUAUAUUUUAGUUUUUUUCUUAAAAUACCCAAUUACUUAAAUGAUUUUAGGCAAAUGGGUAAACGGGUUGAUUGAGGUGUACUUUUUUUACCAAAAAUACAUGGUUCGGUAUGAUUCGGUACUAGUACAGACCAAUAUUUGAAGGUAAAAACCGGUAAAUACUUGUACCGAAUCAGUAUCAAAUUUUUCGAGUCGGUUCAGGAAAUUUUGUACCGGUACUGGUUCGGUACUGGUUUCGAACUGGUAACCAGAACCAUUUGCUGAUCCCUACUGAAGACUGAUUGCAUAUAUGUUAUUUUGUGUUUUUUAUUAAGUGUUAUCUCCCGAAAUAGUCUGCUAUAUACUUACAUCAUGUAGUAUUAUGACUUUGAGUAUGAUUUUUUUCUUUGUUAAUACAUUAGCAUGAUCCAAUAUGGGCACUGAAGAUGGCAUGUCUAACUAUUCUCUCUUUGCAAUGGUGUUUCUUUUAUGCUAAAACGUGGUGGAUUCUUUGAUGUAAUGAUAAUUUUCCAUGUUAAGAGGUGGCGGUUUUGACCGGUUUACUUAUUAAGUUUGGUUUUGGGUUGGGUUGGGUUGGGUUGUGUUUUUUAUCAAACAGGUCAGGUUUGUUAAAUUCAAAAGUUUAGCUAAAAGCGGAACGGGUCAUAUGGUCAAACAAAACUAUAAGUCACUUUUUUGAAGCAUACAACUUCAAAAGUCGUUUCAUUUGAAGAUUUUAUUGAAGUUUUAGAAAAGAAGAUUUUAGUGUUAGUGUGAUAACGUGUUUAGACCUGAUUCUUUUUCGAUUGAUCCGAUAAGACCUGUUUUGAUAUUUAUAACAACCGCUUCUAUGAUCCCAAGAUUGUGCUCGAUUUUGUUGCGAGUAGAACCGAGUCCAUUCAUUUCUACAUUUGUAGGCUCACAAAACACAAAUUUUAAUUAUAUCAUUUUUAUGCUCAUCGGUGCUUCCCAUAUCUUCAGAGGUGUUUUGCCACGUGUUACCGUUCCAUUCUAACUUUUUAGACGAGUUGUGUGCCUCACGACGACUAAUACAUCACUGUUGAGGGUAACAUUCCGGUAACCAAACUCCAUCAGUUUCCGCCAAUGUCUUGACGACUGACACAUCGCUGUCGAUAACAAGAUUCCGGUGAGCAUUGUACCCCUUCUUAUUUUUCUAUGUAUCUUUACGACUUUUAAAUUUUACAUUACAAAACUAAAUCUUAGAAACAAGAAAAGAUCGUUUUAUUUUUAAUGAUUGAGAAGGUAGAUUAGAUUUGACAAAUGGGUGAACCUUUGGUUGUAGUUCAGGUCGUACUUUUUCACCAAUCGGCGAAUUGUGAAUAUUUAUAUUAGUUUUUUCUUAAAAAAAAAACAAUUGCUUUAAAUGUAUAUAGGCAAAUGGAUCAAUCUAGGCUGUACAUUGUCACCAACGAGUCAAGUCAGCAUAUACAUUGUCACCAACUGCUUAAAUGGGUGUUAUUUAUUUUUUAGUUUUUUCUUAAAAUUCCCAAUUACUUAAAUGAUUUUAGGCAAAUGGGUAAACGGUUGAUUCAGGUGUACUUUUUUUUUUACCGAAAAUUCCCGGCACAGAAUUGUUCGCUACCUGUACGGACCAGUAUUUGAAGUUAAAAACCAGCAAAUAUCACCGAAAACCCUAAAUGUCAGUACCAAAUCAGUAUCAAUUUUUCGAGUCGGUUCGGGAAAUUUUGUACCAGUACCGGUUUGGUACGGGUUCUAAACCGGUACCCGGAACCAUUUGCUCAUCCCUACUCGAGACUGAUUGCAUAUAUGUUAUUGUGUGCUUCUUAUUAAGUGUUUUUUUCGAAAUAGUCUGCUAUAUACUUGGAUCGUGUAGUAUGACUUUAGGUAUGAUUUUCUUCUUUGUUAAUACACUAGCAUGAACCAAUAUUGGCGCUGAAGAUGACAUAUCUGACCCUUCGCUUCUUCGCAGUGGUGUUUAUUUUACGCUAAAACGUGGUGGAUUCUUGAGCUGCUUCUAUGAUCCCAAGAUCAUUCGAGAUUUUGUUGUGAGUAGAACCGAGUCCAUCCCUUUCUACAUUUGUAGGCUCACAAAACAUAAACUUUAAUUAUAUCAUUUUCAUGCUCAUCAGUGCUUUCCAUAUCUUCAUGCGUGUUUCGCCUCAUGUUUACCAUUUCAUUCUAACUUUUUCUUAGACGAGUUGAGCAACUCACUUGACAACUGAUACAUCACCGUCGUGAAAAAGAUUCCGGCAACCCAAAUCCAUCGAUUUCUGCCGGUAACUUGACGACUGACACAUCACUAUUGAGAGCAAGAUUCUGGUAACUUAGUAGGAAGCCUAUUAAAGCCAACCGGAUCACUGAAGGCUUAGAAAAGUGGCUAUAAAAGUUACCUAAAUAAAAAGGAGAAUUGUUU